AUGCCUAUUUCACCAGUUUAUUUUCCAAAAUUGGAGUAAUACAGAGAUGAUUAGCAAGUUCUCCAUGUGAGGAUAACAUGCAAAUCCAUAAAGGGAUAUGUCUUGGU
rnacentral:snRNA from 1 species